AGAUGAAGAAUGUCUGUACGUCCUUGGUCAUAGUUGAUUCACUAUGUAGUUAAAGUUUGAGGAUGAAGAACCAUGUGGAGCUGUGGCUUCUUCUGCAAGUGUCUUCCACUCCAUGGCCUUAGCUUUCAUUUCCUUACCCUUGGAUCUCCCUCCACUAACUCCUUGACAAGAAUGGCCAACAAAGCAUACGAACUCCUGCAGAUAAACUCUCCAUGGCUGACUGCAAACCGGUGUGUGUUAAGAAUCCUCCAAAUAACCGCUUGAGGCGCGCUAGAACACCAGGGUUGCAAAGUCAGAAUUGUCCCCAAGUAUCCUAUUAUUAUUUAUGGAUAAAUACCAGGUCGUGUCCGGCUGCUUCCAACCAUUAAGGCCGUUCCCGUCCAUACCCAGCGUAGUAGAAGCCAUGAAGGUUCAUAAUCUGUUCUUGAAAAAGCGUCGGAAAAAGCCAAAAAAACGUGUCGAAAAUGUCCAGAAACGAAACCGUAAAUAAAUUAAAUAUAUACUUGUAACACCUCAAACUUUACAUGUGGGGGAAAUAUUGACUUUCAAUUUAGAGUUUUAUGUUUUUGCUG